AANNNAUACAUAUAUAUAUAUACAUAUAUAUAUAUGUGUGUGUGUGUAUACAUAUAUCUACACAUACACAUACACAUACAUAUAUAUACAUACAUGCACACAUAUAUA
ensembl:miRNA